rnacentral:ribozyme from 14 species
GUCGGUGUGUAGGUAUUCUAUCGAUCUUUUUUUCUUUCUUUUUCAUAUCGAUUUAUUUUUAUAAAAAAAAUAGAUUGAUAG